rnacentral:lncRNA from 1 species
GGGAAUUUGAUCUAGGAAGAUGUGUUUCAGAUUCUCGGAAACUGGAAUAAUGCUUUCACAAACUUUAAGUUUCAUUAUCCUAAAAUGUUAUCGCAGCUCGCCAGGAAAGGAACGCACAAUUAUUUCUCCCUCCAAUGUCGAAGAGGCUGAGGCUGGACCACCUGACCAUAACAAAAGCUCCAUGCCUUCGUCCAGACACUUUUCAGGACGGUAAUUUUUAUUCACACGUGAAUCAAAACACCUUGGUUGUUCUUUGAACACAGCACAAAAGAUUUGUUGUCCAUUAGGAUGGCGAAAAAAGAAAAAACUUCCAUUUUAAUUUUCUUUUUGGUAGACAAGGGUUAAUAGCACUCAUGUGGCCUUGAACCUCUCUAUGCCAGUACAAUUGAUCAAUCAGCAUUUCACCGAUUGCUUCACUCCUCCUUCUCCCCAUAAGAGGAGAGAAACCCUUGCAAAACGUGUUUGUUCUGUUUGUUAUUCUGGAUAAAGCCGAUAACGAGUUGCAGCUGCUGAACAGGGUGUACUGCUUGCCGAGGCCACGGCUGUAACUUAUAGAUAGAACAGAGCAGCCAAAGAUGUGCCUCGGGCUGGAGCCAGCUCUGCAAAUAGGCCACACUCUGGGCUAUGAUACAUGCAUUUCAUUAGCUGACAAUUUACUCCUGGAGAAGCUUGAUUGGCGACAGACUCAAAAAGAGAGAAUUUGAAAUAUCACUCCUCAGCUCAAAGUGUUUUUCUCUGUUUCUGACCUGAAGGAUUGGCUUAUGUCAGUCUCAAUCAAGAUGCCUUUAGUAGUACUUGAGGCUGACUUGGAACAAUAUGGGUCCCUCUGGACAGAGUGUACACCUGAUGAUUCGUGUCUUGGGGCAAUGCCUGAGGCCGCACAGUCCCUAGUGCUGAAACUGAGCUCACGCCCAACUCAACUGAGUUUUGUGCCUCUUCCCUGUGUACUUAAGGGCUGUGGGCCAAAAAGACAUGCAGCCAACAAUCUGCCCUGAACCAUUAAACAGCUCUCUAAACCGAGCUGAUGGGGAACAGAGUAUCAUUGUCCAUUAUUUAUAAUGUGAUCUUCUACUUUUAUCCUCAAUUAUUAAGACACAAGGAAAACAAGAACAGUCAACAUUAUAAGGAUUGGGUCAAAAUGAAUACAUGCUUUGAGCAUAAACCAGAAUCAAGAUAACUCUUGUGCUUGCUUGAAAAAAGUUUUCAAGCCUUCAUCCUUUAGCAAGUUGCUCUGACUCCUCAGACCUCUGUUUGUUCACAGGUAGAAUGGGAAUGAUCCUCACAGCUGUGGAGGGUUAUCCAGAGACUUCUGAUAAAGUAAGUUAUAUGAAAUGUCUACCAUUAGCAAGGAAUACUCUAAAGUUGUCUAGCAGAAAUGACGAGCAGGUUCAGCCAGUCAAGGUUCCUGUCACCAAGCCUGAAGACUAACUUCAUCCCCGGGAUCCACAUAAUGGAAGGAGAGUGAGAACCCCACAGUUGUCCUCUACAUACACACACGCACAUACACCACAAAAUAAGAUGUAAUAAAAUAUGUUCUAAUGCAAUUUUUCAUUAUAUAGUGGAAUAUCAAUUGUGUAUAUCCUAUAGUAAUUGUACUUUUCAAUAUGUAACUUAAAGAGAUACAAAAAUGUGUGCAAAAAUUAUAUAUGUUUUUACAAUAAGAAUAUAUAUAUAUACACACUGUGCCAUUAAUGAAUCAAGCCAAAUAACAUUUUAAUGUAUUAGUGUUCUUUUCUGUUUUGAAAGUCAUCUUACUGGCCUUGCCCGCUUAUAUGUUUGAACUCCUUUUGGAUUAUUGUAACUGGAAAACAAUGUGAGGUCUGGGAUCCAGAUAAAAAGACUCCCUGAGGCAGAUUACUCCACACACCUAAGUAUCACAUGGCUGAACCAGUAUCCAGUACCACACUCAGUGAACAGACUGAGCAGCAAACAAGGCGCUGAGGGCCAAUACAGGGCCCCCAACAAUUCAUCCCUCUGCAGAAAUCAUGGAUGGUCCAGAGCACACCACUGGUCCCUACCACCUUUCCCCUCUCUACCACCCAAUCAAUCACAUGAGCUAAACAACUGUCUUGAAUUGGAAUGGCGAGCCAGUUCCCUAAAUGGAGGGCUUGGACCGCAGAGCUGCACCUAAGAAGAGAAUUUAGCUCGUUAAAUGAAAGAUGUGUUUCCAGUCAAUGAAAUAGAUCAGGUUAAUUAUUUAAAAAUCUCCAGCUUCAUUGCACAUGUGAGUCGACUGCAGGGAAUUCGAAACCUUGCUGCAAAGUAAUCAAUAGAGAUAUUUCUAGGCAAAAAAAAAAAAAGUAUGUUGGUGAGCAUGGUGGCACACGCCUUUAAUCCCAGCAGUCAGGAGGCAAGUGGAGCCAUGAGUGCGAGGCCAGCCUGAUCUACAGAGUGAGUUCUGGGACAGCCAGGACUACACAGAGACACCAUCUCAAAAAAUAAUAAUAAUAACAACAAUAAUAAUAAAAGUAUUUGGACCACAGGCUGCACGUCUCUCUCACAAGAUCAGAGUGACCUGGCACAGUGUCACUGCAUAACAGCUCUGGUCUGAGGGUUUCAAAGACAUUAACUGGUAUCAUGCAUAAUGCAAGAUAGAUGCUGUUGUUCUUUCCAUUACACAUAUAAGGGAACUGAAGCAGAGACUCCCUUAAGUUGUCUUCUCAAGGUUUCCCUAUUUAUUUAUGAUGGGGCUUAAAUUGAAAAAGUCCUAAGGCACACAGAUGUGUCUUUUUUUUAAGCAAUUAUACAGAGCAAUGCAUCUCUUCAAACGUUAGUAAUGCAGACACAUGCCGGCAUUUCAUAGUUUCAUUAGCAAAUGACUAGGACAAAAUCUAAAGAAAUAUUGUAAAGUUCAUCAUGAUGCUUCCCUCUGCACUUAAAAAUAUUAUCACUUCAUAGGGAGGUUUGUUUUUAAGUUUAUCUCUGAUAAUUUAAUUAUCUCACUUUGGAAAUAUGGCAAUGUACUGCUCAUUUGACUAAAAUUGGAUAAAAUAAAUGAAGCUAAGAAGGAUGGUAUGGUAAUAUUAGCAAUAGUUUGUACUUUAUUUGAAAUACGUUUGUAUUAUAGAAAUAAAAGUAAACAUGGGGAAGUAUGUUAGAUGCUGUUGAAAAACAGUGCCACAUUGUUUCCCUAACAUUCCCAGUGAUUGUCAAAGAGCUGCUUUCUAAUUAUAGAAUAGUAUUUAAAUAGGGACCAAUGACAUUCUAAAGAACACUAAUAGAAAGUAGUUAUUAUUCUCCUGUAUUUCUUUAAUAAUAAUAGCUACUUUCUAUUAGUGUUCUUUAGAAUAGAACCUUGGUUGAGUGGUUACUCUGGUCAGUCUACCCUUGAUUUUCUGUCUUGGAUGAGUUUGCGUUGUGUGUCUACAAAAAAAUCUCACAAACAGCAGCAUAUGAGGAAUCACAUUAAAACUUCUUUGAAAAAAGAAAGUAUUUAUUAUAAGCAACAUAAUUUCCAUUGAAAAGUAAAAGAAUGGAAAGUCAAUUUCUAAAAUUAAAUACAUAAGGAUAACUCACUUCAAUAAAUUGAGUAAGUUUUGCAAUUAUAGAAUUAUAUUUUCCUAAAUUCUCAUGAAGAAGUAAACAUCUGUAAUUCCAGAACUUGGGAAGCUAAACCAAGAAAAUCAUGAGUUUGGAGCUAACCUGAACUUCAUAGUCACCCUGACUCAAAACAAAAGUUCUGAUUCCUGAUAAAGAGCAAUUUGAUACUCAUUCUAUAUGGGUUCUAUUAUGCAAUCUUUAAUAUACAAAACAGAAUACUUUAAAAUGACAUUAUUAUUGUGAAUUGAUGGAAAAAAUAGACAAAGCUUUAUUAUAAAAUUAAAUAUAAGUUUGUAUGAAAUUCAUAAUGUCCUUUAAAAUGUGAA